CAUUAGUAUACCUCCUAGACCUUCAGCUUGCGGUAACCAGAUGCUUGCUAUUCCCAGCACACACCAACAGCAACUUCCAUAUCGAAAUCCUUACCAGCGACCGAACCAUGACCCCCUUCUUUUUGGCAAUUAUGAAGAAGAUUCAGCAACCCCUUUGCUAAACCUUGCAAGAACAUCAUUCAGUGGUUUUCACCAUCCGGUGGUCGGAAUGAUUGGCGAUUUCGUGCACGCGAGGG
rnacentral:misc_RNA from 1 species